rnacentral:lncRNA from 1 species
GUCCCGAUGUUAACGUGGGGCUUUUUGCGUUCGAAUUUCCCACGGGCAGCUUUGACGGUGAAAGAAUCGCGACGGCGAGGGAAUACGUAAGUGGUGGCAACGGUAGUGAGGAAAGGAGGGAGGAAGGGAGAGGAGAGGUGGGUAGGGGUUAGUUUAGAGGGAAUUGAGGAGAAAAAGGCAGAGGUGGUGGUUGAGGAGUGAGUUGGGAAAGGGGAGGCGUGUGGGUAUCUAAGCUUAGAAGAAGCGGCAGUGGCUGCUGCUGUUGAUGAAAUUGCCAUUUCCUUGUAGAGGAGAGGAGAAGAGAGGAAAGGAGGGUUUUGGCCUUUGGCUUUGGAAAAUGAAGAAGAGAAGGUAAAAGAGAUUUGGGUUUGUGUUAUCUUAUUCCUCUGUGGCUUUGAGGAUGAGGGUUUGUGAAAUGGACGGACUAAAAAGAAAGGCUAAUAUGAGGAGUUGUUUUAUCCACUUCUGCUUCCUCUGCCAUAUCCACUGCUCCCUCGCUCGCUCUCUCGGGGUACUAUUGAAAUUUCCUCUUCCUAUGCUCACUUACUACCCAGCAGGCCCAUCAUCCCAUCCCCACAAAUCACUAUUACUUCUUUAGGCCUAAAAAUUGGGCUUCCUAUCUUGAAGUUCUAUACUACUAUAUUUCAAUAAGUUUACAGGUUUUUUUUUAAAAUAAAAAAAUGUAUUAAUUUUUAUUAAAUGUAAGUAUAUAUAAAAUUAUCAGAAAAAUGUAUGAAAUUCAAGUAUUAAACCUAAAUAAUAGUGCUUAUUCCACUUUCAAAUGUUCAUAUUUGGUUAAAUUACCUCUAUAAAUUUUAAAAAAUAAAAUUAUACAUAAAUUUUAAUUUAGUGCGAUUAUAUAUGUGAAACUUUGAAUGUGGUUCAAAUAUAUAAAUAAAAUUUUCAUUUUGAUUCAAUUAUACACAUUUAAAUAAAUAAAUACAUUAAAGUAUUUUAAUAUUGGAUAAAUAUAAUUAUUUGUGUAUGCUAUAUAUAAACAUAAUAUGAUGUUUUACCAAUAAUUAUAUUAAUAAUUUAUAAGAAUUAAAUUAAAUUAAAAUAUUAUAUAUAAAAUCACAUAAAAUUAAAAUUUAUAUAAAAUUAUAUAUUAAACUAAAAUUUACUUAUAAUUUUGAGAUUUAAUCCAAUUAUUUAAACCAAAUGCUAGAGAACAUUAAAUUACUGACUCCUAACUCUAAGGCCCUUCAAUACAAGGACCCGUCAAAUAGUUCAAAGGAGUGUGUUUUCCUUGAAGGUUUAGGGUUGGGGUAAUGCUUAGAACAGGGCUAGGAAUAUGGUCUUUUUGACCAAACAAAUAUUAUGGUUUAGAUUGACUGAGGACAUGAAAGAUCCAUGAUAAGACAACCCACCCAAACCUACAAAGACAACCCCAGCCCUUCUCGUGCCACGUCUCUGAUUCAGGUUCUCAACUUUCCCCUAAAACUUCAGUGGUCUACAAAUCCCCCCUUUCUUUAUCUCCAAUAAAUAGUAGAUCUAUUUUACAAAAAAUUAAAUAAAAUAGUGGAUAAUAUUCUAAAAAAGUAAAUAAAUAAACGGUAGAUAAAACGGGGUAUGAGCAAAAUUUUAUUAAUAUAAAUAUAAAAAUAUGGAAAGAAAUUCAAUUAAAUUAGUGUAAAAUUUAAGUGAUUUUAUGUAUUUUUUUUAAUUUUUUAUAUUAUUAAUAUUUUAUCAAUUCAGUCCUUGAAUUUGACAAUAUGUUUGUAUUGGUCAUGCAUGUAAAAUUUUGAAUCAAUUUAAUAUUUCUAUUAUAUCAAUUUAAAAUGAUGUUUAUAUUAAUAUAUAUUUAAUUGUUGGAGACAAACCUAGUUUAAGCAAUGAACAAGUAAAAUAAUGAAGAAAUUGAAAAGAUCAAACACAAAUAUUUUACGUAGAAAAAAAACCUUCCAAAGAGGAUAAAAAAUACGGAGAAAGAUAAUUUAAUUAAAAUGGCAAAAAUCAAGAGUACAAAAGAUAGAAAUAAAACUAAACCUCGAAACCUGAAAUAAGAACCCUCAAACAUAAAUACAAAAUUCUCUAAAAGCUUAUAAAAGCUAAUACUUAAAUGUGUAAUUGGUUAUUUUUCUAAGGUGAAAAAAUGACCUAUUUAUUGGCUAAAUUUGUAGAUCAAAUAAUAUUAAAAUAACCUACACUAAUUAGAGUUUAAGUGAGAAACUAAAAAUAGAAUUUAACGGGGAGAAGAAAAAGAAAUGAGGUAUAACUCCAUAAAUAUCCACCUUGACUCGUAUUUUCACAACGCCUUCUUUGUCAAAACCCACCACGGGCUUAUCUUGAUCAAUGCAGGAUAUUAAUUGAAUCAAAACUAUGUUUAGAAGCUAGAAUAUCUUUUCAAAACCAGUAUCCAAAAGAGAACCUCUUUUAUACAAAAUGAUUAUGCCUUUUUCCCUCUUAUGACCAAGUUGUCUUCACUUCAAACUAGUCAACUUCGACUCUUUAAUUGACGAGGGAUAUUCAAUUUCACCAGUCAUCAUUAUCCUUCUAGAAUAUAAAGACUACGAAUCUUUUUACCUUUCAUCAAAAUGAGAGCCUCACCGGAUACCUUAAUAUCGCUUGACUCGAUGUUAAUUCAACAACUCUUCGAGUCCAAAAUUCCCAAGGAGAUGUGAUUUUUCUUUAAGUUAGGCACAUGCUUAACAUCUGACAAUGUCCUAAUUGUCCUGUCGUGUAUCCUGAUCUGAACAGUACCAAUGCCGGUUACCUUACUGGGUGAACCAUUCCCUAUGCGCAUAACUCCACCUUCAACUGAACUGUAUGUGGAGAACCAAUCCCUAUUGGAACACAUGUAGAAAAAACACCCCGAAUCUAGGAUCCACUUAGACGUAAGCUCAGAAUUUUCACUUGUUGACACUAACAAGAAAUUAUCACCCUUAUCAUUGGCCAAAUUAGCACCAGCUAAAUCUUCUUCAUUGUUCUCAGCAGCCCUUUUAUUUCACAUUUUGUAACAAUCUGCAUUAAUGUGACCUAACUUAUUACAAUAACGACAUCUCUUGUCUCGCUUCCUUGAUGCUACCAAAAUCAAGGCUUGCUUAUUUGACUUGCUAUUCAAACUAAACUCAUUGUUGAGCUUGUCUUUACUCAACAAAUGACCCUUCAAAUCCUCGAAUGAGAGAUUAUCUCUGCCAUAAAUUAGAGUUUCUCUGAAAGACUUGUAUGAAGGGGGUAAAAAGCACAACAAUAACAUAGCCUAAUCUUCAUCGUUAAUCUAAACCUCAACAUUCUUUAAAUCAUUCAAAAGAGUAAUAACUUGACUGAUGUGAUCUCUAAGGUGCUCACCUUUGUUCAUGUGGAAUGUGUACAACCGCUAUUUCAACACUAAUCGGUUAGCUAAAGACUUUGUCGCGUAAAGGGUUUCUAACCUUUUCCAUAAGGUGAAUGUCGUUCUCUCCAUCAAAACCUCCUGCAACACAUUAUUUGUUAAAUAUAAUUGAAUCGUGGAUAAAGUCUUUUUAUCUAACCUAUCCCAUUCUUACUUAUACAUGUCUGCAAGCUUCUUCUUUGUAAGGAUCUUCUCAAAAUUGCCAUUAUCCGAACUUGCCACAUAUUGAAAUUUGUGAUGCUAUCAAACUUAUCAAUAUCAAACCUUAUUGCUGCCAUCUCUAAAUGACUUAAUUAUGAAAAUAAAACUAGCUUUGAUACCAAUUUGUUGGGGAUAAACCCAGUUUAAGCAACAAACAAGUAAAAUAACGAAUAAAUUGAAAAGAUCGAAAAAAAUAUUUUAAAUGGAAAAACCCCUCCAAAGAGGAUAAAAAAUCACGGGCAAAGAUAAUUUCACUAAAACGUUAAAAACAAAGAGUACAAAAUAUGGAGAUAAAACUAAACUCUGAAACCCGAAAUAAGAACCCUCAAAUGUAAACACAAAAUUCUUUGAAAGCUUGUAAAAGCUAAUACGUAAAUGUGUAAUGAGUUAUUUUUCUAAUGUGGAAAGGGGCCUAAAUUUGUAGGUCAAAUAUUAUUAAAAAAAUCUAGACUAAUCAUAGUUUAAGUGAGACACUAAAAAUAGAAUUUAACUGGGAGAAGAAAAACCGAAAAAUACGAAGUAUAACUUCACAUUAAUGAUCAAAAGCUUUUUCACAUAAAACAAAUAGUUAGAAAAUUUUAAUUUAUGGCAAACUUGACAUGCAUGAUCUGCAUGAAUGAAAAAUGAAAUAUGACAGUUGGAUUGAUAAAAUGUUAAUCAUAUAAAAAAUUACGGAAAAGUAUAAAACCAUUUGAAUUUUCUGAAAACUUAUGAAAAUAUCUUUUAUUUUUAUUUAUUUUAAAAUUAUCAUUAUAACUUUUUUAUUAUUACAAAUUUUAAAGGAGGGAAAGAAUGUAAUAGAAUUUGAACUGAGAAACCAGAAUUUUAACCGUUACACUAAAUAAUUCUUCACAUCAAAUUUUUUUUUUGAAUAAACAUAAGAUGUCAUGAGGCAAAACAACUAACAAACUUAAACAAAUCCAAAAUGCUCUUACCAGGGGAUAGAUUGGUGCGAUACAAUCUUCUCUAAUAUCUACACGAAUUUACUCUAUUUCAUGUAUCAAAGCCCCAAAAUUAUUACGGACAAUGUUGACAGAAUUAUUUGGCCGGGCCACGACUCAGACAAUAAAAAACAUACAUAUGUUCACUUGGGAACAAUUAUGUCGGCUGAAAAAGAAAGGAGGACUAAACAUUCGCCAAACGACACUCAUUGAUGAUGCUCUUCUAUUCAAGCAGACCUGGCAUAUUCUCUCAAAACCGCAUUCGUUUACUCAAGCAAUACUCUUGUCAAAAUACUACACUAACACUAACUUUCUCGAAGUCCAAGCUAAACUUUUAGACUCUUGGACAUGGAAAAGCAUUCUAAAAGGAAGAGAUACAUGCCUCAGAAGGCUCGAUAUUCAAGACUGGUUGGGAUGCAAUGUUUCUAUUUGUGGCAAUAGGUUAACACUUCAACAAUACCAGUCACAACAUCUGCCAGGAGUCAGAUAACAGACAUUCAAGACAAAGUCAACAUUAGGUGGAACUCUCAAUUCAUUCAAGAACGAAUGGGAGACCAUUAGGCCAAUGAGCUUCACUCUUGGAGCUUCUCCCUAACAGCAGACAAUGACAUGUAAGUUUGGAAGCAUAGCUUUUCAGGUAUGUCUUCAGUGAAAGAUGCUUCUCUCAUGCUAAAAAAAGUAACCUGGAAGUUAUCCCCAACUCUUUCAACAUAAAGUAGGAAGCAAUCUGGCGAAUUAAUAUUCCUCAUAAAUUACAAAUUCCUAUGGAAAAUUUGCCACAACCUGUUACCAGUGUGUGAGGAACUUCAAAAGUGACGGAUCCCGGUUGACCCAUGAUGUGUCUUAUGCCACGAACAAAAUGAAAUGGUUGAUCAUCAUUUCUGGCUCUGUUCUAUGGUCAAGUUAAUCUGGUUCGAUAUUCCAUGGUCGAUUCACAUCGAUACAUUACAGAUAUCUGAUAUCCGUGAAUGGAUUGCAUCUUGGAUAAAUGGCUACCAGGUUUUCGAACCGAACAGUCAAUCGACAAUCACAUGGUGGAUACUUACACUACGGAAAAUAUGGAAACAUUGACAUGAAAUCUAUUUUUCACAAGAAAAAAUGAACUGUAUAGCCCAAUAUUUGCUCCGGCUUGGACCCAAGACAAAUUACCCAAACCCAUUAAAAUUACAAAGCCCAACAUCUAAUAUAAACUAACCCAAACUAAACCAACCCAAACCCACCUAAAACUAGCCCAUUUACAACCGAAACCCUAGCCCCAUUUUCGGUUUUCACUUGCCUCUGCCAUCUGACCACCGCUUCUGUCCCAUCACCUCUGCAACCCCAUCCCCUGGCGCCACCUGCCCCGUAGUCACCUCCACUGUUCACCCACCACCUGCACAGCAAACAGAGCACGCAAUAGCAACCAAAAAAGAGAAACAGACAGUGUAACAAAGGGGAUAUAAAAACCGAAUGGAAACCAUAGAAAGGGGUUCGGCUUCUUCUUUUUUUAGUGAUUUUUUUUGAAUAUUCAAGGAAAAAUCAAUACAUAAAUUAGAUUUUAAUACAUACACAAGCAGUGAUUCAAAAUACAAAAGGGUAACAUCAAUCGAGCAACCAAAAAUCUCGAUAUCAAAUUUAUGGUGAUUUAUUCUUUUAUUUUCAUUUAUUUUUCAGAUCUAUAUUUCUAUAUUUCAUAUAUAUAUAAACUAAAAAACAUAUAAGAAUAUAAUACAAAAAAUAUAACAAAAAAAAACAAAAAAAUCUAACCUUUUGAACUUCCGGCCACCGUGUACGGUGGCUGGCGUUAGCGACGGACGGUGGUCCGACGGUCGACCGGUGACCGGCCCAUGGCCGGAUUCCCUCCCCCUCCCCCUCCCCCUCUCUCUCUUCUCUCCUUUUUUUUUCUUUUCUACCGUUCAAAUGAAUUUUUAAUUUUUUUUUGUCUUUUAUAGGGACCAAAACGGUGCGUUUUGGUCCCCCCAUUAAACCUGAAACAGCGCCGUUUUGGCCCCGAGUUGGGUCGACCCGACCCGCUCCAAUUAGGAUCCUCGUGUUUUUAUAGCGGAAGGGCUAAUUGCGCAUUUGGCCCUUCCGUAUUUUUGUUAUUCUACAAUCAAGUUUUUCGUUAUUUUAAUUUGGCCCAAAAUACAUUGUGUUUUGCAAUUUAGUCCCCUUACAUACGCUGCGUUUUGACAAGAGGGAUAAUCGUUGUUUUGGUCCUCCUAGGUUACGCGCGUGUUGCGUAAUGACCCUUUUUUCUUUAUUUCUUUUCGAAUUCACCCCAAAAUUUUGUUUUAUGUUCGAUUUAGUCCUUUGUGUGUUAGUUUACUGUUUUAUUUUCAAAUUACUUGUUAUUAUUUUCUGUUAUUUAUUAUUAUUAAUUAUAAUCUAUAUACUUAUUAUAUUUAUUUAUUACAUGUAGUAGUGUAUAUUUACUAUGUACGUAUAUGUAUAUGCAUAUUUAUUGAUGCUAUUACUUUAUUACUUUAUUUUAAUAUCUUUAUUAUAUUUGUUUUUUUAUUUCAAUAUUAUUUUCAUUAUUAUUAUGUAUUAGUGUAUGAUCUUUUAUAUAUAUGUAUAUGUAUUUAAUAUACUUAUGUAUUAUAUUAUAUAUAUGUUUUUUAUACGUUAUAUACACUUUUAACAUUAUAUUUUAUAUAUAUUAUUAUGUACAUAUAUUUUUCAAUAUUAUAUUAUUUAGAUUAUUUAUGUACUAUCUCAUGUAUAUAUUUUCUAUACUAUCCUUAUUAUUAUUAUUAUUAAUAUAUGUUUUAUUAUAUACGUAUAAAUAUACCUUUUUUAUUAUUUUACUUUAUUAUAUUUAUUAUUUAUUUUUAACAUAUUAUUAUUUAUAUCAUCAUUUUACUUAAUUUUGUUUAUACAUUAUAUUUUCUCUUUUUACUUUUAUAUUUAUUAUUUUCAUUAUAUUUAUUCUUUACUUAUUAUUAUUUAUGUAUAUAUAUUUUUAAAUCCCAUGUUAUGUAUAGACAUUUUUAAUAUGUAUUUCUUUAAGUGAUACUAUUAUUUAUAUUUUAGUACAUAUAUAUGUAUACUUAUGUGAAUAUUCUUUUAGCAUGUGCUAUAUAUACAUAUAUUUUUAUUCUAUAAUUAUGUAUGUAUAUCUCUAAUAUUAUAUUACGUUUUCAUAUAUAUUAUGUAUUUACUUUGGUAUCAUAAUUAUAUAUUUUUAUACGAUCUUAUGUACAUAUUACUAUUUUACGUCCAUUUAUGUAGCAUUGUUAAUGGUUGUUCUUCACCAUUAUUAUUAUCCCUAGUAUAUAUACUAUGUAUACAUUUUCUAAUACUUUAUCACAUAUAUGUAUAUAUAUUUUUUAUUGUAUUAUGUACGUGUUAUUAUUAUAUCUAUUUUACCCUACUAUAUUUAUUAUUAAUAUUAGUACAUAUAUUUUAUUAUUCUUGUAUACAUAUUUUAUAUAUAGUAUUAUUUUCAUAUAUUUAUUAUUAUAUCUAUUCUUUUCACUAUUAUCACUUAUUAUUUUAUUUUAAUGUUAUUAUGUAUGUACUUUUCCUAUAUAUCAUGUACAUACAUUUUUCAUACCUAUAUAUCAUGUACAUACAUUUUUCAUAUAUAUAUGUAUAUAUUAUGUAUACAUUUUAACAUUACUAGUUAUAUUUUUACUAUCUUAGGUAUAUACUUCAAACAUUAUAUAUAUAGUUUACAUACAUACUCUUAAUAUCAUGUAUAUACAUUCAUUAUUUCCAUUUCAUGUUUAAUUCUAGUAUUACAUAUAUCUUUAUUGUUUGUAAUAUUAUUGUCACACUUAUAUUUGCUUCAAUAUACUUCUAGAUCUGCCUUUUACUUAUUUUUAUUUAUUAAUUUGCUUUGCAUUAUUUCGAACGUCUUAUUCUUGUUUUCUAAUUAAUUUCAAUAAAUAAGACAAUGUAUCGAUUUAACAUUAAGCUAUAGAUUUCAUCGCUAUGUUGGAUGAAGUUUGUCGGCUCGUGUUAAAGACGGAAUACCUUCUAAAAACCGAAAAACUAAAAAAUCCUCAUUUUCAACCGGAUCACGACUAAAUGUUACAUUGAACACGCAUUUUUGAAAUUUGAGACAACACAUGUUUAAUAAGAUACCAAUUUUGGGCGUUACGAGGGUGCUAAUACCUUCCUCAUGCGUAACCGACUCCCGAACCCUAUUUUACUCUGAUUUUCACGUAGACCCAAAUGUGGCAUUCAUUUUUGUUCAAGAAUAAAUUUUCUUUUAAAAAAAAAGAUGAUUUAUUAGGUGUCCGAUCACACCUAGGAAAAAGGAUCGGUGGCGACUCCCUCUUUAUUUCAAAAUCAAACCUCAGUCUUUAAACUUUCAAUCAGACACCCCAAUUAGCGACCAAGCUAAAAUUUUUUAGGUGGCUGCAUGAACCAUGUGGGCGUAAUCCAUCGUGCUAUCGCUAAUCACUGUGAGUACAACUGGGUCUUACAGACAAAAGGUUUUCCAAGAAACGAAUGGGCAAUUUUUUCACCACUGGCGAAUCAAAUAACAAUUAGAGUGAUAGAAACAGAAUAAACCAGCAAAUUCUGAAGAAACAAAAAGAGAAAUAUCUGAAGGUAUUAUUCUGUAUUGCUUAGCUUUUCAUUCAGUACAUAGACAUGGUUUAUAUACACGACAGAGAGAGGCCUAACUAUUGUUAACAACCUUUAACAAAAUACCAACUUUGUCAACUGCCUAACCAACUAACUAAUCACUUACACUUGUAUUUUUUACAUACUACAACAUUCACCCAGCUUUCUCGAGUGGCACGACCCGAAGAAGAUGACGAAAUCGAGUAAAAAAGAAACAGAAAAUGGUUUAGUGAGAAUAUCCGCCACCUGGUCACAUACUGGUAUUUCACCAACAACCAAGUCUCCACUAGCCACCUUCUUACGGACAAAAAACAAAUCAAGUUCAACAUGUUUGAACUUAGAGUGCAGAGCUGGAUUAGCUGCAACAACUACUGCACUAGAAUUAUCACACCACACAGUCAGAGGAUCAACAGAACGAACUUUUAAUUCUGUUCACAGAGAGACAAGCCAAGCAAUAUCACUAGUGGCAGCAGCUAAACUUCGGUAUUCAGCUUCUGCCAUAAACCGAGAACAACUUGCUAUUUCUCAGAACACCAUGAUAUAGGUGUAUGACUAAAAUACACACAGUAUCCUAUUGUAGACCGGCAAUCAUCAAAAUCAAGACCCUAGUUUGCAUCAGCAAAACUGACCAAAGACAAUCUAUCAAAUCGCCGAAACAUCAUUCCAUUAGAAAGAGUGCCAUGUAGAUACUGCAAAAUACGUUUUAACGCUACCAUAUGUAUUGUAAGGGGAGCAUGCAUGAACUGACACAGCUGAUUAACAGCAUAUGCAAUAUCUGGUCACGUUAAAACAACAUACUGAAGGGCUCCAGCAAGACUGUGAUGUUCAGUUGGGUCAACAAGUCGUUCACCCUCAUCUUUAGACAACAUGGACGAACUCACCAUUGGUGUAUGAACAUUUUUUGCAUUACUCAUGAAACUCUGGUCAAGAAGCUCUCAAAUAUAUUUGCGUUGGCAUAAUUGAAGACUGCCAGAGGUAGAUCUACUAACUUCAAUUCCCCUCCAAAAAAAAGAUUACCCAUAUCCUUUAAAGUAAACUUGUUGUGUAACUGGUGAACAAAAUAAUUUAUCUUGUUAGCUGAACUACCAGUAAUAACAAUGUCAUCCACAUAGACUAGAACAUAGAGAGUGAAUUUAGGGGAAACUCUGACAAACAAUGAAGCAAUUGAUUUAGACAGAACAAAACAAGUAGAAACUAGAAACUGCUUUAAUUUGUCAAACCAGGCGCGAGGAGCUUGCCAUAAGCCGUAUAAUGAUUUUAUCAGAUGACAUACCAGCUUUUCACCAUCUGGACCAGUUUGAACAUAGCCGGGAGGUUGCUGCAGAAAAACUUCAUCAGUCAGGUCUCCAUUUAAAAAGUUAUUAUUGACAUCAACUUGCUGAAGGUGCCAACCACGUGACAUAACAAUAGACAAAAUGGUUCGGAUAGUAGCAGGUUUGACCACUGGACUGAACGUCUCUUUGAAAUCACAACCAGGCAUCUGUGAACAACCCUUAGCUACCAAUCGUGCCUUCUGUCAAUCAAUUAUUGAUAAACCGUAAUUUAGACAUAUCCCCCCAUGUUUAACGCAUUUUAUGGAUGAUUUUCCAUUAGAAUUGGUGAAUUCGAUACUCCUAAUGCUUUAAUUUCAUGUUUUACACUUAGGAGAGCAUAGGAGAGCGAAAGGAACGAGAAACGGGCCAAAAAUGGAAAAAAUUGGCUAAAGUACGAAAUCAACAUGGCCUAGACCUCCUCACACGGGCAGACCACACGGCAGUGUCAAUAUGGCAGAAUUGGAGCACGACUCACACGGGCAUAGCACAUGGCUGUGCCAUUCUAACAAGCUUGAACACGGCCUAAAGUAAUUGCACACGGGCUUGUUACACGAGUGCGUCCCUGCCGAGCCCAAGUUAAGUCCAAUUCAGAAAAGGCCACUUUUGAGGGCUUCUAGGCAUUCCAAAGCCUAUAAGUACACCCUAGAAGAGGAGAAAAAGGGGAGACAGAGAAUAGGGGUAAGGAAUUACCCCAAAGAAGCUGAUUGAUCCAUCUCAGAAGCUAAAUUCAUCAUAAAGACUGAUGAUCUCUCCUCAAUUUCCCUUCAGGAGUUUUGGGUUUUCUCUAUGUUUUGUAUUCUUUAUUCUUCUGAGAUGUUUUUUUAUUUAGUUAUGAACUAAAUCCCCUAAAUACCUAAGGAGAAUGAAACCUAAGACAAAUCUUGUUAUUAUUUUCUGAAUCGUAUGAUAAAUAUUUAACUUGUUCUUAAUUAUGUGUUCUUAUUUCUUGUUUUUAUAUCCCAGGAUAUUGAUUCAAGACAUGCUCUUAUUCAGAGGAGAAAUAGACCCUGUCUAAGAGUACUUUUGUCAUAAUUAAGCGGAGUUGAUUGCGCGCCUAGAAAUAGGGUGACAAGAUUUUGCCAGAUUAGGGUGAAACCUAAUAAGGGAAUCCAUAGAUCGAGUUAAUGCAACCCUAGAGUGUUAAUUAGAGAAAAGUAUCGAUUAUUCAAUUUAGGGAUUAGAUGUUAUUAGUCUUAAAUAGGGAUAAUAACAUAACUUAGGGAUCUCUACGGAACAAGUUGAAUAAAUAAAUCGUUGGAUUCAGAGCCAGAAUAACAAGUAAAGUCUAGGUGGAUUUUUCCUUAGGUAUUGUCUCAAGUCAAUCGAUUUUCCCAAAAGUAAUUCCCCAAUUCUUUUCUCUGUGCAUUCUUAGUUUAGAUAAUUAGUUAAUUAAAACAAAACCCCAUUCUUCUUAGGCUAGAUAAUAAAAAGACAGUCAUUACUAGUACUUUUAGUUCCUUUGGGUUCGACAAUCUGGUCUUGCUAAAACUAUGCUACUGUUCGAUAGGUACACUUGCCUACAUCGCGAUAAUAGUUAGUCUAAGUUUGAUCUUCAUUAUAAAUAUUUAUUACUUGUUACAAAUCACGCAAUCAAUCAUCCCAUCAAGAUUAUUCUUUAUCUUAAAAAGCCAUCUGCACCCAAUCGCCUUUCGGCCAAGAGGAAGAAAACUAAGUUCCCACGUAGAUUUAACAAUUAAUGCAUUAAAUUCAGCUUAAACUGCAAGUUGCCAGUCUGGAUGAGCAAGAGCCUUCUCAACAGAAUUCGGCUCAAAAUCAUUCGUAUCCACCGACAAAGCCUUGGGUUUAAAAACCCCAGCCUUAGACCGAGUGACCAUAGCAUGAGUAUUAGUAGUAGAAACAAUAGGAACAGUAACUCGCCCAGUAGGUAACUGGGCAAUUUUAGUAGAGGGAAGUUCCUUCCGUACACCAGACCCUAAUUCAGUCAUCGAGUCAACUAGAACAUGUUGUAGUGGACUACAUGUAGGUGAUGAAUCAAGCUGAGUCGACUCGCAGUUAUGACUGGGCAAAGAUGCCCUGGUUGCAGGGUCAGAAAUUCGGCUAAGCUCUGCAGCGGUAAAAGACCGAAUAAUAGGAACAUAGUAGGAGUACACAGAGAUGACUGAUCACUGGUAGUAGUAGACACAGGAAAUAAAAAUUGAUACUCAUCAAAGACAACAUGCCGAGAGAAAAUUACCUUACCACCUCGUGUUAAAUAGUAAUAAACCUUGUGUUAUGAGCUAUAUCCCAGAAAUGUAGAUGGUUGGGACCGAAAAUUAAGCUUAUGUUUAACAAAAGGAUGUAAGUACGGAAAACUACAGCAACCAAACACCCAGAGAUGAUCAUAUGUUAGUUCAUAACCAAACAAACUCUGAUACGAUGACUUACCUUUCAAGACCGGAGUGGGUAGUCGAUUAAUAAGAUGGACCGCACUGCAAAAAGCAUAGCCCUAAUAAGCCAUAGGUAGAUUAGCCUAAGCCAAAAGAGUGAGACUAGUUUCUAUAAUAUGUCUAUGUUUACGCUCAAUAACACCAUUUUAUUCAGAAGUGUGAGGGCAGGAAAUACGAUGAAGAAUUCCAUGACUAGCCAGAACUGAAGUAAAGACACGAACUCACCGCCCCAAUCAUUCUGGAAUUUCUUAAUAUUCUUCCCAAAUUGUGUGAGAACCAUCUUUUGAAACUGUAGAAAACAUUCUGCUGCUUGAGAUUUGCGUUUUAUCAAAUAAACCUAGGUAAGUCAACUACACAUGUCAAUGAACGUGACAUAAUACAAAUUCCCUUUACAGGUAAUAGAAGCCGGUCCUCACAAAUCAGAAACAACUAAUUCAAACAAUUCAACAUAUUCAGUACUAGAAUGUGAAAAGGGCAAUUUAUGCGAUUUUUCUUUCUGACAGGCUAUACAAACAUUAUCAAGAUAUCUUUUAUUGGAAACAAUCUGAAAUUUGUCAAGAACAGUUUUUACAAUAGCAGGAGAAGGAUGACCAAGCCUUUUAUGCCACAAAGUAAAGACGUCAUCUCCCAUAGAAUAAUCUUGAAUGUCAGUGCUAUGAAUAGAAGGAUAUAGAUCAGCCGAGUCUACUGAAAAAUGGUAGAGCCUAUCACGAACUUGGCCCCACAUUAAGAUUUCCUGUGUCUGGACGUCCUUAAUUAUACAAUAAGAGGGGUGAAAUUCAAAGAAUACAUUGUUAUCAGUAGCAAAUUUAGACACAGACAAUAAAUUUUUUCGGAUACUUGGUACACAUAAAACAUUCGAUAGAUAUAGUAAUUUCUUCUUUGUAAGUAUAGUAGUACUCCCAUUGGAUGAAACCUUAGUGGAAACCUCAUUACCAAUUAAAAAAGAGGAAUCACCUGCAUAUGGAGUGGAUGAUGUAAGUCAGAAGCAUUUUGACACACAUGGUGAGUAGCCCCUCAAUCUGGGCACUAGGACGUGUUCCCUACCGGCAACGGAACAUAAGAAUUAGUGCUAUUAAAAUUAGAAUCAUAAGCCGUGGCAUCAGAAAAAUUAGAGGCAUGAAACUCAGGAAACUUAGGUAUCCUAACAAACUGAGACGAGUCAUACUGGGACGAGUCAACAUCGAAGACUGGAGCUCCCGAUUUUGUCCGCCACAGAACCUCAGGGGCAGUAUUCUGCAAAGACCUGUCAAGAUUAACACAAUUAUCAUUGGGCCCAGAAGAAAUUUUCCCAUCAUUUAGGCGAGGCCUAAUGGAUCCACUAGGCCCGAAAUUCUGGCCUACACCUAUUUGCCCAUGCGCUCGAGCAGCCAUACUAUUAUAUGGGUGACCCAAGUCAGCGUCACCAUAGUGCUGGCCCAUAGAACGAUCAAAAUAUUACCCAACAUUAUGUCUAAACUUACGCCCAGACGGUCCAUAAGCCAAAUUUAUCCCAUCAUUAGUUGGCCUACUACCAUGCGGCAUAAAGGAGUUGGGCCCAACUGGCACAUUGGCUGCAUGCAGCCCACGUGUAGUCACAUUCUGCACCCCUACAUUCGGCUGGGUAUAAGGAUUCAUAACAAAUUCUUUUGAAGGCACAAACUAAUUUUGACCAUUUGACAUCCAAUUUUGACCAUUUUCAUUUGUGAACCUAGGUCCACGCCCCUAAUCGUCCCUAAUCGCGCGAAGCCACGCCUCUAUAUUCGACCCAGAAGCUGGCCCUCCUUGGUGUACCAUUAGAGCUACAAUCAACGACUGCUCGUCAUGGUGGUAUCGGUAGUAACAUCGUUGUGCAAGGUGACCAUACCUACUACAGAUCUAGCAUUGGAUCCGAGUGCGAAAACCCCGUCCACAACCACGAAUAGGAGGACGACCACGACGAGAACAUCCGUCCACCACUUGUGACUGAGAUCCUUCCACAAAAUUUGCAGCAACCAGCACAUCUUAAACAAAUCUCAUUUGACGGGUUUUGUACUCAUGAAGCGCAUCGAUUAGACAUUGGAACAACAAUGUAGCCAAUGAGAGUGAGGCAGAGGACACGACAACAUCAAACUUAGAUGACAGACCCGCAAGCAAAAUCGUCGUCCUUUUGGCCUUCGAAAUAUGAGAACCAGAUGUUAUAAGAAGAGCACACAAGCCUUUGAUUUUAUCAACAUAAGAUCAGAUGGAGAGACUACCUUUCUUGAGAGAAUGUAGUUCGUGACAAAGUUGAGACUGCUUCGCACUAGUGUUAGUCUCAAACAAGCUAUUCGCCAUCAUCCACACAUCGUAUGCGGUUCAUACAUCAGUGAAUGAUAGAAAGGACGGACUAAUCGUAGAGAGCAGCCACGAGGUGAGAAGAUUGUCUUGUUGACUAAAUACUGAGGCAGAAGAAUUUGCAACAAGAGUGCCAUUGAAUGCUUGAACGAACCUCGUCGGAGCAGAUAAGGUUCCAUCGAAGAACCCGAUCAAAUCAUAACUAGCAAGAAUGAAUCGGACCUGUUAUUGCCAUUGAAUGAAAGUGCCCUCGUCAAGAUUUACUACUUCAUGCCAAGGAAAGGAGGUGACGAUUUGAUCAUCGAUGAACACAGAGCCACAUGGCUCAACAGAGUCGAAAUCAGCAGAUUACGGAAUAGCCAUGCCUGAGGAUCACUGAGCGACUGAUACCAUGACAGAAACACAAUAAACCAAUAAAUUCUUAAGUAACUAAAAGAGAAAUAUCUGAAGGUAUUAUUCUGUAUUGCUUAGCUUUUCAUUCAGUACAUAGACAUGGUUUAUAUACACGAUAGAGAGAGGCCUAACUGCAGUUAACAACCUUUAACAAAAUCCCAACUUUGUCAACUGCCUAACCACCUAACUAAUCACUUACACGUGUAUUAUUUACAUACUGUAACAUUCACCCAGCUUUCUCGAGUGGCAUGACCCGAAGAAGAAGAGUAAAAAUAGAAAUAGACAAUGGUUUAGUGAGAAUAUCCGCCACCUAGUCACAUGCUGGUAUUUCACCAACAACUAAGUCUCCACUAGCCACCUUCUCACGAACAAAAAACAAAUCAAGUUCAACAUGUUUGAACUUGGAGUGUAGAACUGGAUUAGCUGCAACAGCUAUUGCACUAGAAUUAUCACAGCACACUGUCGGAGGAUCAACAAAACAGACUUAAUUCUGUUCAUAGAGAGACAAGCCAAGCAAUAUCACUAGUGGCAGCAGUUAAACUUCGGUAUUCAGCUUCUGCCAUAGACCGAGAACAACUUACUGUUUCUUAGAACACCACGAUAUAGGUGUAUGACUAAAAUACACAUAGUAUCCUACUGUAGACUGACGAUAAUCAAAAUCAAGACCCUAGUUCGCAUUAGCAUAAUCGACCAAAGACAGUCUAUCAGAUUGUCGAAACAUCAGUCCAUGAGAAAGAGUACCAUGUAGAUACUGCAAAAUACAUUUUAAUGCUACUAUAUAUAUUGUAGUCGGAGCAUGCAUGAAUUGACACACCCGAUUAAUAGCAUAUGCAAUAUCUGGUCAUGUUAAAACAACAUAAUUAAGUGCUCCAGCAAGACCGUGAUAUUCAAUUGGGUCAACAAGUCGUUCACCCUCAUCUUUAGACAACACGAACGAACUCACCAUUGGUGUAUGAACACUUUUUGCAUUAGUCAUGACACUCCGGUUAAGAAGCUCUCGAAUGCAUUUGCCCUGGCAUAAAUGAAGAUUGCCAGAGGUAGAUCUAUUGACUUUAAUUCCCAAAAAAUAAUGAAGAUUACCCAUAUCCUUUAAAGCAAACUUGUGUAACUGCUGAACAAAAUAAUUUAUCUAGUCAGCUAAACUACCAGUAAUAACAAUGUCAUCCACAUAGACUAGAACAUAGAAAGUGAAUUCAGAGGAAACUCUAAUAAACAACGAAGCAUCCGAUUUAGACAGAACAAAACCAGUAGAAACUAGAAACUACUUUAAUUUGUCAAACCAGACAUGAGGAGCUUGCCGUAAGCCGUAUAAUACUUUUAUCAGAUGACAUACCAGCUUUUCACCAUCUGGACCAGUUUGAACAUAGCCGGGAGGUUGCUGCAUAAAAACUUUAUCAGUCAGAUUUCCAUUUAAAAAGUUAUUAUUGACAUCAACUUGCUGGAGGUGCCAAUCACGUGGCAUAGCAAUAGACAAAGUAGUUCGGGUAGUAGCAGGUUUGACCACUGGACUGAAUGUCUCUUUGAAAUCACAACUAGGCACUUGUGAACAGCCCUUGGCUACUAAUCGUGUGUUCCGUUGAUUAAUCGUCCCAUCAGGAUUCUUCUUUACCUUAAAAAGCCAUUUGCACCCAAUCGCCUUUCGGCCAUGAGAAAGAAGACUAAGUUCCCACGUAGAUUUAAUAAUUAAUGCAUCGAAUUCAGCUUGAACUGCAAGUCACCAGUCUGGAUGAGCAAGAGCCUCCUCAACCGAAUUCGGCUCAAAAUCAACCGUAUUCCCGACAAAGCCUUGUGUUUAAAAACCCUAGCCUUAGACUGAGUGACCAUAGUAUGAGUAUUAGUAGUAGAAACAGUAGGAACAGUAACUCGUCCAGUAGGUAAUUGGGAAACUUUAGUCUAGAGAAGUUCCUCCCGUACACCAAACACCAAUUCAGUUGUCGAGUCAAUUGGAAUAUGUUGUAGUGGGCUACAUAUAGUUGAUGAAUCAAGCUGAGUCGACUCGCAGUUAUGACUGGGCAAAGAUGCCCUAGUUGCAGGGUCAGAAAUUCGGCUAGGCUCUGCAGUGGUAAAAGACCGAACAAUAGGAACACAUGUAGGAGUACACAGAGAUGACUGAUCACUGGUAGCAGUAGACACAGGAAAUAAAAAUUGAUACUCAUCAAAGACAACAUGCCGAGAGACAAUUACCUUGGCACCUGAUGUUAAACAGUAAUAACCCUUGUGUUACGAGCUAUAUCCAAAAUGUAGAUGGUUGGGACCGAAACUUAAGCUUAUGUUUAACAAAAGGACGUAAGUAUGGAAAACAACAACAACCAAACACCCUGAGAUGAUCAUAUGUAGGUUCACAAGCAAACAAACUCUGAUAUGGUGAUUUACCUUUCAAGACCGGAGUGGGUAGUCGAUUAAUAAGAUGGACCACACUGCAAAAAGCAUAGCCCUAGUAAGCCAUAGGUAGAUUAGCCUGAGCCAAAAGAGUGAGACUGUUUUCUAUAAUAUGCCUAUGUUUACGCUCAGCAACAUUAUUCUAUUCAGAAGUGUGAAGGCAGGAAAUACGAUGAAGAAUCCCAUGACUAGCUAGAACUGAAGCAAAGACACGAAACUCACCACCCCAAUCACUCUGGAAUUUCUUAAUAUUCUUCCUAAACUGUGUGAAAACCAUCUUCUGAAAUUGGAGAAAACAUUCCACUGCUUGAGAUUUGCUUUUUAUCAAAUAAACCCAGGUAAAUCGACUACACAUGUCAAUGAACGAGACAUAAUACAAAUUCCCUUCACAGGUAAUAGAAGUCGGUCCCCACAAAUCAGAAACAACUAAUUCAAAAAAUUCAACAUAGUCAGUACUAGAAUGUGAAAAAGGUUAUUUAUGUGAUUUUUCUUUCUGACAGGCUAUACAAAUAUUAUCGAGAUAUCUUUUAUUAGAAACAAACUGACAUUUGUCAAGAACAGUUUUUACAAUAGCAGGAGAAAGAUGACCAAGACUUUUAUGCCACAAAGUAAACACAUCAUCUCCCAUAGAAUAAUCUUGAAUGUUUGUAUUGUGAACAGAAGGAUAUAGAUCAGCCGAGUUUGCUGAAAAAUGGUAGAGCCCAUCUCGAACUUGGCCCCACAUUAAGAUUUCUUGUGUCUAGAUGUCCUCAAUCAUACAAUAAGAGGGGUGAAAUUCAAAGAAUACGUUGUUAUCAGUAGCAAAUUUAGACACAGACAACAAAUUUUUUCAGAUACUUGGUAGACACAAGACAUUCGAUAGAUGUAGUAAUUUCUUAUUUGUAAUUAUAGUCGUACUCCUAAUGGAUGAAAUCUUAGUGGAAACCCCAUUACCCAUUAAAAGAGAGGAAUCACCUGUAUAUAGAGUAAAUACAUGUAAGUUAGAAGCAUUUUGACACACAUGGUGAGUAGCCCCUGAAUCUGGGCACUAGGUCGUGCUCGCUGCGGGCAAUGGAACAUAAGAAUUAGUGCUAUUAAAAUUAGAAUCAUAAGCCGUGGCAUCAAAAAAAUUAAGGGCAUGAAACUCAGAAAGCCUGGGUAUCCUAACAAACUGAGACGAGUCAUACUGGGACGAUCAAAGAUUCGAGCUUGUGGCUUUGUUCACCACAGAACCUCAGGAGCAGUAUUCUGCAGAGACCUGUCAAGAUUAACACAAUUAGCAUUGGGCCCAAAAAAAAUUUUCCCAUCAUUUAGGGGAGGCUUAAAGAAUCCACUAGCCCAAAAUUCUGGCCUGCACCUAUUUUCCUGCGCGCCCGAGCAGCCAUACCACCAUAUGGAUGACCCAAGUCAGCGUCACCAUAGUGCUGGCCCAUAGAAUGAUCAGAAUAUUGCCCAACAUUAUGUUCAAACUCGCGCCCAGAUGGUCAAUAACCCAAAUUUAUCCUAUUAUUAGUUGGCCUACUACUAUACGGCACAAAGGAGUUGGGCCCAAUUGGCACAUUGGUGCGGUUGACGUGUAGUCACAUUCUGCACCUCCACAUUCGGUCGAGUAUAAGGAUUCAUAACAAAUUCUUUUGAAGGCACAAACCAAUUUUGACCAUUUUCAUUUGUGAACCUAGGGCCAUGCCCCCAAUCGUCCCUAAUUGCGCCAGGCCACGCCUCUAUAUCCGACCCAGAAGCUGGCCCUUAUUGGUGCGCCAUCUGAGCUACAAUCAGCAACUACUCAUCACGGUGGUAACGGUAGUAACAUCGUUGUGCAAGGUGACCAUAACUACUAUAGAUCUGGCACUAGAUCCGAGUACAAAAACCUCGUCCACAACCACGAAUAGGAGGACGACCACCACGAGAAGAUCUGUCCACCACUUGCAAAUGAGAUCCUUCCACAAAAUUCACAGCAACCAGCACAUCUUGAAUAGAUCUGAUCUGAUGGGCUUUGCACUCAAGAGUGCAUCGACUAGACAUUGGAAUGGCAAUAGAGCCAAGGAGAGUGAGGCAGAGGACACGACAACAUCAAACUUAGACGACAGACUCGCAAGAAAAACUGCCGUCCUUUUGGCCUCUGAAAUAUGAGAACCAGAUGCUGCAAGAAGAGCUCACAAGCCUUUGAUUUUAUCAACAUAAGAUCAAAUGGAGAGAUUACCUUUCUUGAGAGAAUGUAGUUCGUGACAAAUUUGAGACUGCUUUGCACUAAUAUCAGUCUCAAAUAAGCUAUUCGCCAUCAUUUACACAUCGUAUGCAGUUCAUACAUCCGUGAAGGAGGAUAGAAAAGACGGGCUAAUCGUAGAGAGCAGCCACGAGGUGAGGAGAUUGUCUUGUUGAUUAAAGACUAAAGUAGACGAAUUUGUAACAAGAGUGCCAUCAGAUGCUUGAACGAACCUCGUCGGAGCUGAUAACGUUCCAUCGGGGAACCCGAUCAAAUCAUAACCAGCAAGAAUGAAUCGAACCUGCUGUUGCCAUUGAAUGAAAGUGCCCUCGUCAAUCUUUACUAUUUCAUACCGAGGAAAGGAGGUGACGAUUCGAUUAUCGGUGAACACAGAGCCACAUGGCUCAACAGAGUCGAAAUCAGAAGAUUGCGGAAUAGCCAUUCCCGAGGAUCACCGAGCGACUGAUACCAUGAUAGAAACAUAAUAAACUAACAAAUUUUGAAGAAAGUAAAAGAGAAAUAUAUGAAGGUAUUAUUCUGUAUACCUUAGCUUUUCAUUCUGUACGUAGACAUGGUUUAUAUAUAUGAUAGAGAGAGGCCUAACUGUUGUUAACGACCUUUAACAAAAUACCAACUUUGUCAACUGCCUAACCACCAAAAUAAUCAAUCACACGUGUAUUAUUUACAUACUGUAACACAGAGCUCUCUUAGACCUCUACAAGAUGGCCCUCUAUCUGCUUACCACCUUACCCUUUCGUUCAAAUACAAUCCUAACAACUCAAAAUACAGCGUAACAGUGACGAUUACUGGUUCUACCCUCAUCCUUUAACUUUCGCAACAUUUUUUUAGCAUAUCACCAAAACCCACAACAAACUACUUUUCAUAUGUCAAAUUCUUAGCCAGCUCCCGUAACUCUAACUCCAAAACUGCAUCAUCUCUUUCCCAAACAGAAAAUGGCAAAAAGACACGUCGUAUAAUAAGUGGUUAUAAGCUCUAAUACUCACUAGAUUAGAACUUCACAUUUGCAAUUAAGAUUGUUAUAUCCCUCCACCAAAAAAACAUGUGUUAGCAUAAGGGGCAUGGUUGAAUUUACAUUGGCCUCUUGAGCCUGGCCACCUGUCCCAUUUCAAGCGGAACCUACCACCCGGGCUUAAAGGAGAAUGCUAUCCUAAUGUGAACACACUUCCAAGAUAAUAAUGAAUCUAUUUCAACUUGACUACCUUAUACUAAUAGGUUCUCAUAAUAUGUACCUAUGAUUAUCUGUUAUGCAUUUAACGAGACUGCUAGAAAUGAAGAAUGUGUCUUCACUCUGAUUAAUGUAGAAGUAGGAGUAGUAGUGUUAGAUGUAGAAGAUGAACUUAAACCAAAAUCAAGUGAAGGUGUGAAGGAGCUGACACACUUUUCUCUUAUUGUUGUAGAUGAGCCAACCGAUGGACUUAACAAACAUACCUAUUUUAAGUUCGAAACAAAAAUUAAAGUCCGAGUAUCUACGGCUUAUGGUGACGUUGAGUUUGUGAUGCUCAAGGCUAUAGUACCUCGAAAUAAGCUUUAAAGUUGGUUAGGAUUUGAAAGAAAGUGGUUCGUAAUGUGGCUGUUAAGAAGGUAAAAAAUAAGAUAGCAAUAAUGUGUUCAAACACCAAGGGGGUCCUUAUUCUAUUCAAGAAGAACAAACGAUGAUUCAAGGUGUCGAGGACCUCCUAGAAGUUCUUCUAUGGAGGGGAUACAGAUCGCCCGAAAGUUGAUAAGUUUUCUUUUUGUUAGUUCUUAUUUUGUUUUGUUUUUUAUUGCAUAUUUUUCUUUUGGUGUGUUUGUUUUUUCUAUGUAGGUCUACCCAUAGAGGGUUGCACAACAUUGAGAGCUUCAAUGAAGUUUGAGGACUACUCCACCAUUUUUUUGCAUUUACAUUGGAUAAAGAGAGUCUCUUUAAAUUUAUCUUUAGUUGGGACACAUUGGGGACAAUGUGUGACUUAAGUGUGGGGGGUGUACAUAGAUUUUAUCUUUGUGUGUUUUGUUUGCACUUUUCUAUUUUUGCACAAUUUUCAAAAAAAAUUCAAAAACAUUUUCCUUUUUUUUUAAUUUUGUUAUUUUUGCAUGGUGUUUGGACAAUAAUUAGGCAAUAAGCUAUGGGUUGUAGAUAUCAAAUAAGUAUGUUGAAUAGCCAAGUAUGUAAAUUUUGACUGAUACUAGAUAAUUCAAUGUUCUUAUUAUGGACUAAUUAGUUCAAUUAGUUAAUUUGUAUAAUAUAUUAGAGGUAAUAACCUUAAAUGAAAAUGUAUAAAGUGUACUAUAGGAUGAAUGAAUUAUAUGGAUCAUUGCAGAUAAAUGAUUUGAAUUGUUAAUUAUUCAUUUAAAUAGAUGUAUGCUUGAUAGAAUUGGUGUUGUGUGAAUAAUUCGAGAAAGACUAUUGUUUGAACUAGCUUAAAGCUUAAAAACUAACCUUUUGCUAUGUACCUUAGUUCUCAUAUUGUUGAGCCUCAAGCAUCCUUUUCCUAGUAACGUUAAUAUCAAAGCCUUAAGCCUAAAUGAUUCAAGUACUUAACCCUUCUAUUUCUCUAUUUUUUUAAAUGUACUAUGUAAUAGAUGUCAAAGCAUAGAGAUUGAGGGUAGUAGAAACGUUAUGGCAGUUUUGUAUGCGGUAAAAGAAAAUGAAGAGGUUAUGUGAUUUAGUACAUUAAAGAGAGAGAGAGAGAGAGUGUGUGUGUGUGUGUGAGAGAGAAGAGAACAUUGUGAAUGAAAGAGCGUAAAAAAAGAAAAGAAGAGCUUAAAAAGCAAUCAAAUUUGAGCUCGAAAAGGAAAAUCUUUCGGUUUACAUUUACUAAUUUUGUACGUAUUAAUAUAACGUAAUAUCGUCUAAAAUUUUGAAGAAAUAAGGUAGGCGAGGGAAGGAGAAAUAAUGAGGUGGUUUUGUAAAUAAAUUGGAGGCGAGUAGGGAGCAAUGUCAUGUGCUUAACUGUUUCUAGUGCUUGAACCCAUUUUUGAACUCCAAACCAUCUUAAGCAUCAAAACGUUGCAAGCCUAGAAGACCUUUGGGACCCAAACAAUUCACUAACACAAUAAUUCAUGAAUUGCUUGCAUUUGUUUGAAAGAAUAUGGCCAAUUCUUUUUGGAAAUCUAUGAGUGAUCUACAUAAUUUAUUUUGAUGAAUAACAUUUGUACAUACAUUUGUUUUAAUUUCCUCUAUAUUUAACUUAGUGAACUAAUUAUGUUUGCAUUAAGAAUACCUAAGUUAACUAGAUAUCACUUUUAAUUUGUAUAUGAGGUAACUCUCGUACAAGUUUGAUGUUUUACCACUAUGUGACCUAAUUGUCCGAUUAUUCUAAGGGUCAUCUUUUAGCAUGUUUUGUGUGUUUUCUUGAGGACAAACAAAGAGUUAAGUGUUGGGGAUUUUGAUCUACCGUAAUUUGAUACAUCAAAUUAGGCUCUCUCCAUUAAACUUAAGGAGCUAAUUCUCAAGGAAUUUAAGUUUCUUUUAUAUUUUUUUUUCAAUUUUUAGUUUUGUUGUUAAUAAAUUAUUUUUAUUAGUUUUAAGUCAUUUUUUAGACCCAAAUUGGUUAACCUUCCAUGGAGAGCCUAACAAGUUGAUUGAGCAUUGUAGGGAGUCAACGAUGGCCAAAACGUGAAGAAAACAUCACCUAGAAGGGGGUAUCGUGAUAUUGAAGCGUUUAAGUCAUGAUACCCUUGAAAGUGCUGUAAUGAGGAGAAUAGAGACCAUCUACAAUGCUAUCAUGAUACAAAGAUCCACAAGGCCCCAAAUUUCAAUACUGACUUAGGUAUCGCGAUACCCAACCCUGAAUAUCAUGAUACCCAAAAUCGGGUAUCGCGAUAUCUUACUUGACACAACAAAAAAGUUACUGCAGGGUAGUUUUUGUCUAACGACAAUAGUAAUCAAAAUUAAGAAGAAAGUUUAAUCAUUUACAUUUUCUAAAACAUUAGGAAGAAAUUUUAGCUUAGUUAGUUUAAUUAAUAGUUUAAUUUUAGUUUAUGAACAAUUUUAUUUAGACUUGUACUAAUAAUUUCUGACUUGAUUAGAUUAGUAAUUGCUUAACUUGUAAUUAACCUGAUAAGCACAUUUACCCACUUGGCAAUCCCAAACCCCUUAGAACACUUCGUGUUCCAUUUAAAUUAUAAAUAUUACAACUGACACUAUCCACUUGCAGUAAAAUCACAUUUUAAAUUUGCUUUAUAAAAUAGUUUGUUUUAUGUGCAUGCGGUCAAACACCGAGACCCCAAGACCUCUAAUUUUGAUAAUGUUUUGGGUUUAGGGUUUAGGAUUUAGGGUUUAGGGUUUAUAGUUUGUUUUAUGUGCAUGCGGUCAAACACCAAGACCCCAAGACCUUUAAUUUUAAAUUUGCUUUAUAAAAUAGUUUGUUUUAUGUGCCUGGGUGCACAAUACCACUAUUGGACAAGGAGAAAAUAGAUUGCAGAGGUGGUUUUAUCCAACACCAACCCAAUCAAAAUUCAGCGUCUUGGGCACUUUUGUCAAAAAAUUUAUUUGUAUUAAAUUGUUGGCUAAUAACUUUAAAUGAGCCACAUUUAGCAUUAUUACACACACUUUUUUUUAUCUUAUUUUUAGCUAAUUAGUUGUUUCAUCUUCAUCUUUUUAGGGUUUUAGUUUAUCACUUUUUUUGUUUUUAGUUGUUAGUUAGUUAGUGUGACUAUAGCUUGGUGUUAUUUACAUUUUAGUACUUAAACUUUAGCUUGUAUUUUGAAUUUCAUCCAAGGGUUUGAAUAUAGCUCAACUUUAGUUUCAUUUUAAAGGCUUAGAAUUUGAUCUUUGCUGAUAUUUUUUUCACCUCCAUGUUGCCCACAUCUUCUUCUUCAAGCAUUCAUCAAGAAAUUACUAAGCUUUCUUAUCUUUACUUUUGUGCUUAAUCUAAUGUAUGCUUUGAAUGUUCAUUGGGUUGCUUUUUGUAUGGAAAUCAUGUUAAGUAACUAAAUUUAUAGGGGUUGGUUGAUUGAACUGUUGCUUGGUUAAUUUUUGGUACAGGGACUAAAUCGUAAAAACUAAACUAAAUUGAAUAAACUUUAAAACUUAAAAUUAAUGCCUCUAAGGGAACAUAUAGAUAGGUGAGACCGAGAGGAGAUCUUCUUGAGCAUCAAUUCGUUUAUCCAAACUUAGUUUGGUGAGAUAAAUUAGACUAAAUCGUCAAAUUUGUAAAAUGGUAAUCAAAAGGUAAAAUUGAGCUAAUUAGAAGUUUAGUCUUUUUAAAUCCUCAACCCAAAGACAAAUCAACAACACAGAAGUCAACUGACCACUGUUGUUUAUUUGAUUGCAAAUUUUGUAGUUUUACAGUUUUACAAUUUGAUCAUUGUUAGUGUUACGUAGUUACUUAGCUUAAUUAACCCUGAUCAUGAAUUACUAUAAUAUAGAACUUAAUGAGUAGUUAGCUAGAUUUCUUUGUUGUAUGCUUGUCAGUUAGUCAUCACUUAGUCCCUGAAUUCUCUUGGGUUCAAUCUUUGGAAUACUCAAGUGUUACAUGUAACACCAAAAAUAUUACAACUCGACUUGUCACACUUAUAGUACACCGCUAGAUUAUUGAUUGUUUUUGUGUUGAUUCUUAACCCUAGUGCACGCUUAUGGGGGCUAUGAAUAAACACUAAUAUACUAAAAUAUCUAGCAACUUUACCGCAAGUGUGAUAGGUCAAUAGUAAUAUUUAUAUGUGUUACAAUAGAACACACGAGUAUUCUAAGGAUCGAACCCAAGAGAUUUUCAAAUUGGUAAAUGUGCUUAUCAAAUUAAUUACAAGUUCAACAAUUGCUAAUCUAAUCGAGUUAAGAAUUAUUAGUGCAAAUUCAAAAAUAAAUUGUUUAUAAACGAAAUUAAAAUUAUCAAUUAAACAAACUAAUCUAAUUUUCUUCCCUAUUACUUUAGAUAAUGAAUAUGAUAAAACAGUGGUUGAUUGAUUCGUUACUCGCUAACUAAGCUAACAAACCUAUACCAGUUAUAUUCUUUGUCACUCUUAGAUAAGUAUCUCCUCUUAGUCUCAUCCUAUACUAACCACCUAGGUUCUCCUAUUGGUCUCACCUAAGCAUAUAGAUCUCCUCUCAGUCUCACUAUUCGACACAAUUAUAUCUAACUAUCAAAUGAUAAACUUUCCUCUCGGUCUCCUUUAUCUAGAUUUUCCACUAGAGGCUUCAAUUCUAACAUAUUAAACAUUUCGAUAUAAUUGAAAAAUCAAUUAAUUAAGAACAAACAUUAAAUUAAACUAACAAAUAACCAAUCAACCAUCUAUCAACCAAUUUAGCACAUAAUCAAACUUAAAUCUAAGCAAGCAUUUUACCAAACACAUGGUAAGCAGAAAAUAAAGGUAAAGGGUUUAAGAAAAUGCUCAUUUAAUUGAUGGAAAUCCAAUAAAGCCCAAGAUUUUGAUCAUCUUCCUUUUGCAUAGUCUUCGAAAAUAAAAGAACAAAUAGGAAACAACAAAAAUAAAAUCUAUUCUAAACCUAAUCUAAAAAUGAAAAGAAAAGAAAACCUAACCUAAAACUAUGAAACAUAAAGGAGAAACGUUCAGCCAAUAAAAAUGGUCUUCCAAAGCUUAAAAAGUAGUACUUAUAGUAUACUUACAUUUAACCUAACAUUGACCAUCAUUCCCUUUAAUGAAAAAAAGACUAAAUCUUGUUUGAACAUAAUAUUGCCCCUACAGUUUUUCACCCAUCAGGUAGCAGUAUCGCGACACCUAACCUUCACUGUCGCGAUACCUAAAACAUUAGCUAAAUUAGGAUCUUGAGGGUUUUGGUGUUGUGAUGCCCUUCCCUUGGUGCCACGAUACCACUGGAAAUGGACUUAAUUUCUUCACUUCAACACCUUUAGGGAUAUCACGACUUCCAUGGUAUUGUGUCGCGAUACUCACUCUAAAUGACAUUGUCCUCAAGUUUGAGUCCUUAUUGUCUUCUUACACCAACUCAAUCAAAUUGUUAGGUUCUCAAAAUGGUGUAAAAUUAAACAAAAACAUUUAUUAAUGCUUAGAACAAAAAAAAUUUUAAACAACACUUAAAUUGCUUGAGAUAAGCUCAUUAAGUGAAUUUGAGAGCCUAAUUUGAUGUAUCAAAUUACGACAAAUCAAACCCCCCACACUUAAGUCUGUUGACUCGAUGGAACAAACUAAAAAUGCCAAGACGGGGUUGAAUUGGCCUUUAAAAAUUUUGGUGGAAGCAAAGAAAAAUAUGAAGUAAAGAACACAAGAAUUUAUAGUGGUUCAGCCCCAAUUGCCUACAACACUACCUUAGCUUUCCACAACUAAGGAUUUUCUCCAAAUCCACUAAUUUGGAAACUUUUGAGGACAACGUUUAACCUUACAAUAUUUCUUAAGACUUAUACUAAAAAAUCUUAAGAUACAACUCUUUUAAGGUUUCUACCCAAACUUUAAGAAUAAACCCUUUCUCAAAGAAAAAUAAAAAAAGAAAAAAGAAAAAAGAAAAGAAAUAAUCUUUACAAGAUCGGGAUGUUUGCCAAUUAAGCACUAAGAUAAAGAUGAACAUUGAGCUAAAUGAAUACAAUGAAAGCUCACAAGUGUUUACAAGAAAAGGUAUGAAAGAAUUAAACUCUAGGUUGUUUUGAUUGAUGUUUAAGCUAUGCACAUGUCUCUUGUUGUUGAUAAAAUUUUGGAAGAUGGUGUUUAUAUCUUCUAAUUGAUUUCCAAUCGUUGUGGUUUUUGUAGAAUUGAAUGUAGCCAUUGGGAAUGAAAUACCAGGUCAUAAACUUCACCUGCAGCAACAAGUAUCAACACCUACUAAAAAGGUAUUGAUAUUUUUUUUUGUAAUUAAUGCUGAUUUCAAUGACCGUUGGAACAAGAAUAUCGAUACCUUAGGAAAUAUAUCGAUACUUUAAGAAAAGUAUUGAUACUGGAUAGAUACCUACUAGAGUUUGAAAAUGGCAUAAUGUCAAUUUGGUAUUGAUUAUCAAAGGGGUAUCGAUAUCUUGUAAAAUAUCGAUACUUAAAAAAAAAGUAUCGAUACUUUUUAUCCUGGAGAAGUUCUGACUUGUUUGAAAAUGGUUAAAAACAUAUUUGAAAAUGUUGGACUCAAUUGAAACUUUUUCAACUUGAUUUUAUCAAAUUUCUUAAAUUUACUUUUUAUUCAAAAACACUUUAGUUUGUUAUAUCAAAACAUAUAAUCCAAUAGGGCUUAGUUUAAUAGUCUUUACUUGUCCUGAAGCAAACACAAA